UCAAAACUGCCUCUAGACAUGUUGGCACGUAUUGAAGCCUGUAUAGAAGUGAAUUUUUUAUGGUUUUAUGGUGGUUUUUGUUGGGUUUUUUGAUACCCAAUAAUUCGGGCGAUGAUUUAAAAUAGUUGUCGGAUUAUUUAUCGACACCAUGGACUUGGCUAGACUCAGAGAUGAACUACACUUUUGGAUGGUUCGGGUUUGGGUUGGAUGAUUAUUUAGUUAGUUGGAUCAUUUAGUAAUUAAUAUGGAGUUGAAU
rnacentral:lncRNA from 1 species